rnacentral:rRNA from 1 species
UACAGAGGUCUCAAGCGUUGUUCGGAUUCAUUGGGCGUAAAGGGUGCGUAGGUGGCGCCGUAAGUCGGGUGUGAAAUUUCGGAGCUUAGCUCCGAAACUGCAUUCGAUACUGCGGUGCUUGAGGACUGGAGAGGAGACUGGAAUUCAUGGUGUAGCAGUGAAAUGCGUAGAGAUCAUGAGGAAGACCAGUGGCGAAGGCGGGUCUCUGGACAGUUCCUGACACUGAGGCACGAAGGCCAGGGGAGCAAACGGG